rnacentral:tRNA from 1 species
GGGGAUUUAGCUCAGCAGCAUAAGCACCUGCCUUACAAGCAGGUGGUUUUGAGUUCAAUCCCUG